GCACUUCGGGAUAAGCCUGGAAAACUGGGUCUAAUACCGAAUAGGACCAUUUAGCGCAUGCUUUAUGGUGGAAGCCUUUGCGGUGUGGGAUGGGCCCGCGGCCUAUCAGCUUGUUGGUGGGGUGACGGCCUACCAAGGCGACGACGGGUAGCCGGCCUGAGAGGGUGUCCGGCCACACUGGGACUGAGAUACGGCCCAGACUCCUACGGGAGGCAGCAGUGGGGAAUAUUGCACAAUGGGCGCAAGCCUGAUGCAGCGACGCCGCGUGGGGGAUGACGGCCUUCGGGUUGUAAACCUCUUUCAGCAGGGACGAAGCGCAAGUGACGGUACCUGCAGAAGAAGCACCGGCCAACUACGUGCCAGCAGCCGCGGUAAUACGUAGGGUGCGAGCGUUGUCCGGAAUUACUGGGCGUAAAGAGCUCGUAGGUGGUUUGUCGCGUUGUUCGUGAAAUCUCACGGCUUAACUGUGAGCGUGCGGGCGAUACGGGCAGACUGGAGUACUGCAGGGGAGACUGGAAUUCCUGGUGUAGCGGUGGAAUGCGCAGAUAUCAGGAGGAACACCGGUGGCGAAGGCGGGUCUCUGGGCAGUAACUGACGCUGAGGAGCGAAAGCGUGGGGAGCGAACAGGAUUAGAUACCCUGGUAGUCCACGCCGUAAACGGUGGGUACUAGGUGUGGGUUUCCUU
rnacentral:rRNA from 1 species